rnacentral:misc_RNA from 1 species
GAUGAAGAACGUAGCGAAAUGCGAUACGUAAUGUGAAUUGCAGAUUUCAGUGAAUCAUCGAAUCUUUGAACGCACAUUGCGCCCGCUAGUAUUCUGGCGGGCAUGCCUGUUCGAGCGUCAUUUCAACCAUCAAGCCCCCGGCUUGCGUUGGAGCCCUGCGGCUGCCGCAGGCUCCCAAAUCUAGUGGCGGGCUCGUCGUCGUACCGAGUGCAGUAAACAUCCUCGCUCAGGGAACGCGUCGGGUUCUUGCCGUGAAACCCCCCCAUAUCAAGGUUGACCUCGGAUCAGGUAGGAAUACCCGCUGAACUUAAGCAUAUCAAUAAGCGGAAGA